UACGUAGGGGGCAAGCGUUGUCCGGAUUUAUUGGGCGUAAAGAGCGUGUAGGCGGCUAUGUAGGUCCGCUGUGAAAACUCGAGGCUCAACCUCGAGACGUCGGUGGAAACCACAUGGCUAGAGUCCGGAAGAGGAGAGUGGAAUUCCUGGUGUAGCGGUGAAAUGCGCAGAUAUCAGGAAGAACACCCGUGGCGAAGGCGGCUCUCUGGGACGGUACUGACGCUGAGACGCGAAAGCGUGGGGAGCGAACAGG
rnacentral:rRNA from 1 species